CGAUCUUCGUCGAUUCAAUUCGAUCUCUCACUCUCAUCCACCAUUAAAAUGAUCUUCAAAACGGUUUAAUCAAAUUAUAUCUGGCUCUCUUGUGCUAAAAGUUGAAUUAUUGUUUCUGUUGAAAAAUGGAUGGAGCUUUUGAGGACGAGAAUGAUCAGACUAUAACCAUCAAUGAGUAUCUUAACAAGGUUGAAGCCGAGGAGUUGGAAGCGGAUUUGGUUUUGGGCGGAGAUGAGGGCAAAGAGUGCACCUAUACUAUGGGGUAUAUGAAGAG
rnacentral:misc_RNA from 1 species